AAGAUCCUGAAGUUCCUUACAGAAAUAAAAGCACACAGAGUGUUAAGCAACCUUCCCAAGUAGUCAAAUAAAAGUGCAUCUCAUCAGUGCCAAAUGCUGCAGAUGUCUAUGAAAGCUGUGCAGAAUGGAGAGGCACUUGUGUGCUCUCAAGGCCAGUAAUGCUAAAGAAGAAUCUCUGGGCUCUCGUUUCCAACAGAGGCUGCCAACAGAAAGCUCUCCCUCACCGCCCACACCUCUAAGCAGCCUAUGGACAGAGGGCAGAAACUGAGAGGCAAUGCCAUGAACUCACUUAAAGGCAUAAUACACUGCUAUAACGUUCUUUUUAUCUCACUGCAAGGGAGAACAGGAAAUAAAGGAAUCUCUACGCCAGCUAAAUAUAGCCGUUUCCUAACACAGAUGCCAUAUUACAAACCUAUAAGCUAGUCUAACUUCAAAAUGAUUUGAAUUUUAAUUCUCCACCGUCCCAACCUGAAGGCUGUCCCAGAACCUCCAAUGGUUUGAAACUCCUACGCAUUGAGAGGUUAUUAAAAACACACUUUGAUUGCAAUAUUGUAAUUCACAUUUAAAGCCAAACAAUAUUACCAAGAAAGAUAAUAUUUCAACACAAAAGCUUUGCCAUGUCCCAGAUACUGAUUCAUUACAGAAACCAAAUAAAAAAACACUCCCAAGAACGAUAAACAUCUUACAUCUGUAAUUAAUAUUUCUGGCUGGGCACUAUACAGCUGUGCAAAUACUGCAGCUCCUAAUAAGCUCAUAGUUUGGCUACAUCUUAAGGAGAAAUACUGUAUAUCUCAUAACACAGAAAAGAUAAUAAAAUUGGAUUUGAAUGGUUCACCUCCCAUUCAUAUUGCUCCUAAGAUAUAAACAGUUUCAGCAUGAUCCAAAGGAGGAGACGAGAUACACCCUUGCCAAGUUUUUGGACACCAAAGUGCUCAUCAGUGUGAUUGACAGAGGAAAACUAGAAAAAAAGGAAAACAAAAAAAUUAAGAGGGUAAUUACAAGGAUGCUGGAAUAGGUGACCCAGAGAGGCAAUGAAGACUCUGUUCUGGACGUCUGUAAGACUGAGCUAGGCAAAGCUCUGAGCCUGACCUCACCAACCAUCUUGUGCUUUGAGUAGAAGUUUGGUCUAGGUACUUGCCCAGGUCCCUUCCAACCUGAAUGGGAGAACUAAUUUCUAAGAAAUGCAAAACCAUUAACAGGAAGAUAAGUUUUUGGGAAGACUAAAGAAGCAACAUCUACACAGACCAAAAAAACCUUCUCUUUAAUAUUUAUGAAUUAUAUUCCUGUAACAAAUUAAUUAUCAAAAUUGUUACUAUUCCCACGUGAAUCAAAAUACUACAGAAAUACAGUGAAAAUGCACCAAACUCUGGUCUCUCAAUACCUGUCUGUCAUUCAUUUAUUUGUAAUAUAAUACGCUGUAUUUAGACUCUCCGCACAGUGAUUUUGAAUGAAAUAUCUGCCACGACAGCAAAAGUAAUUACACUGUCAGUUAAGGACUCUGAAAAGAAAUGACUGAUUUUAAUCUUCGGAUAGUGUGUCUCCAGUCAAUCAAAACCUCUUGAUUUCAUACAAAAAUCAAUGAGGAACCAUAUUGUCAGUUAAACUGAUGUGCAAAAAUGAUCAUGAAAUGGUGAUCAUUGUGAUAAACCUUAUGUUCAUUUAUAGCCCUGAAUAUUCAUUUCUUAUUGUUGCCAGUGGACUGAGAUGAGAAUUUAGUGUGAAUUUUUGACAAAGUGAUUAGGUGUUCAUAGUUGAAUGUUGAAUGAAUAAUAUUAUAAAUUGAAAAGAUAUUUGGAUUUUUUGUGGUAAUUCAAGAUGGCAAUUAAAAUAAAAAUAUUUACUGUGUUGUUAUUUUAUAUAGGCAUCUGGAAGAGAUAAAGAUACAAAGAAGAAACUUGAAUUGAUGGUACAAGAUCAACAGUAUAAAGCAAAGUAUAUUCCUGAAGCCAGCUUUCAAUAUACGCAGAGCUCCAAAAACGUUCGCAGCUCAGGUAAGAACCAGAGUUCACUUUGAAAACUAAACCAGGAA